GGCAGCCCCGAGGCCCCGCGGGUCCGCCGCCUCCUGGCCUGUCUCCGACCUCCGCGGCAUCCCCAGCCGGAGGCCCCAGCCCAAUCCCGGGACUCGGGAAGACGGACGAGCUGAGGCGGAGGAAGGAGAAAUCCUAGGCUCACCCGCAGAGGCUCUGGGUGCCGAGGCCUCCGAGCUUCCCGCUCCGUCACGUGCCCUGCCUGCCCCCUGCCUGCCCUGCCCUGCCCUGCCCUGCCCUGCCCUGCCCCUCUCUCCGGGGCCCCACGCUCUGAUCUUUCACCGCGUCCAGAGGUUUGAAGUGACCCAAAGACCAUCAUCUACAGAAAGUCCGACUGGCCUGCCCGGCGUCUGCUCAGUGUUCUUAUGCACUAGGACUCGUGUGGAUAGUAACUACCACUGGGCAGUUACCAUCAUCCUUCGGAUACCCACCAAAGAGGGGUUGUUGUACCAUCACAAUAAUCCUCACAACAACCCUGCGAGUGACUGAUCACAGCCCUAUAAGCUGGUGUCUGUAUCAGCCAGGCACCCGUAAGAAAGGAAAAAAGAAACUAUUCUAGGUAUUUUGGACAGAGGAACUAAUACACAGAUUGGUUGCAAAGGUGUUGGAAGGGCUGAAUGAAGAAAGAAGAGGAUGAAGACCAAAAACAAAGCAGGAUGGAUACCCAAGGAUCAGGGGGUGCUAAUGCCCCUGGGGUAGACACCUGGAGCUUGCACCUGCUGCAGCACUAUUGAAGAACUACUGCUAUUGGCUCUGGAACCCUGGGUGGCUAGAGACAGGAAUCAGCCCACCCCCUCAGCUCACACAGCUGUUACCAACAACCUCCAGCCAACUGCCACACCGUUGGUGGCAGAAGCAGGAGGCUUCCCUCUUUCCUAUGCCUUCUGAUCUCCAACCAGUGCCUCCUGUCAGCAGACACUAACAAAAAGCUCCAGGAAGCCCGGGGAACUGUAGCCAGCUCAUUCCCAGCUGCAGCAUCACAGAGCAGAGGACACGAAGGCAGCCCGUGUGAGGCAAGAGACAAUGCAUAGAUAACCAACCCAGUGUCAGAAUAAAAAGCCAUGUCAGGCAUUCUUUAAAGGCA
rnacentral:lncRNA from 1 species